UACAGAGGGUGCGAGCGUUAAUCGGAAUUACUGGGCGUAAAGCGCGCGUAGGCGGCUUGUUAAGUCAAAUGUGAAAUCCCCGAGCUUAACUUGGGCAUUGCAUUCGAUACUGGCAAGCUAGAGUAUGGGAGAUGAAGGUAGAAUUCCAGGUGUAGCGGUGAAAUGCGUAGAGAUCUGGAGGAAUACCGAUGGCGAAGGCAGCCUUCUGGCCUAAUACUGACGCUGAGGUGCGAAAGCAUGGGGAGCAAACAGG
rnacentral:rRNA from 1 species